ensembl:scaRNA
CUUGGAGGACUAAGAAAGUAGAGCCAGUGAAGUCAAAUUGACUCUACUGAUACUAUCCUCCUAAAUCAAACGGUAGAAGAACAGGGCCUGUCUCUGAGAUGGAGUCAGGACCUACUUAAGCUACCAACAGUC